UACGGGGGGAACAAGUGUUAUUCAUCAUGACUGGGCGUAAAGGGCGUUAAGACUGUAUUUAAAAAGAUAACUAUUUAUUAUUAGUUAUUUUAUGCUUUUAAAUAACUUGAAUAGAUUAGAAAUUUGUAGAAUUUAAUUUAUAGGGGUGAAAUGCGGUAUAGAUUAAAGACUGUCAACGGGCGAAAGCGACAAAUUAUAAUUUAUUGACGUUGAAACGCAAAAGCAUAGGGAGCAAACAGG
rnacentral:rRNA from 1 species